AAAUGACCUCAAAUCAGGUAAGAAUACCCGCUGAACUUAAGCAUAUCAAUAAGCGGAGGAAAAGAAAAUAACAAUGAUUCCCUUAGUAACGGCGAGUGAAGGGGGAAAAGCUCAAAUUUUAAAUCUGCUAGGUUUUACCUGUCAGAAUUGUAAUUUGAAGAAGCGUUUUCCGCGUCUCGGUUGGCCUAAAUCCUUUGGGAUAAGGUAUCAUGGAGGGUGAGAAUCCCGUUCGGUUGACCUUAUGACGCAUUACGAUACGCUUUCUAAGAGUCGAGUUGUUUGGGAUUGCAGCUCAAAAUGGGAGGUAAAUUUCUCCUAAGGCUAAAUAUCGGCGAGAGACCGAUAGCGAACAAGUACCGUGAGGGAAAGAUGAAAAGAACUUUGAAAAGAGAGUAAAAUAGUACGUGAAAUUGUUGAAAGGGAAACGAUUGAAGUCAGUCGUACCGACGAGAAAUCAGCUUAUCGUGUGUGAACUUGUGGUCGUGCGUGAGUUUCGGCCUCGCUGUUUGCAUGUUUGUACGCUUUGGGUGUACUUUUUCGUAUGGUAGGCCAACAUCAGUUUCGAUUACUAUAAAAUGACUGGCGGAAUGUAGCUUCGAUUUCGGUUGAAGUGUUAUAGCCUCUGGUAGAUGUGGUGAUUGAGACUGAGGAUUGCAACGAAUAUCCUUUGGGCUAUCCGUCUGGCCUCUGAAAGUUGCUUGGGUGCUGAAAGCUUGCUUAUGGUUAUCUAAGUUAACGGUCAAUAGGUUAGAACGUGAUUACAUUCGUUAAGGAUGUUGGCGUAAUGGC
rnacentral:rRNA from 1 species